rnacentral:rRNA from 1 species
AGAGUUUGAUCAUGGCUCAGGACGAACGCUGGCGGCGUGCCUAAUACAUGCAAGUCGAGCGGACCGACGGGAGCUUGCUCCCUUAGGUCAGCGGCGGACGGGUGAGUAACACGUGGGUAACCUGCCUGUAAGACUGGGAUAACUCCGGGAAACCGGGGCUAAUACCGGAUGCUUGAUUGAACCGCAUGGUUCCAAUCAUAAAAGGUGGCUUUUAGCUACCACUUACAGAUGGACCCGCGGCGCAUUAGCUAGUUGGUGAGGUAACGGCUCACCAAGGCGACGAUGCGUAGCCUUGACCUGAGAGGGUGAUCGGCCACACAUGGGACUGAGACACGGCCCAGACUCCUACGGGAGGCAGCAGUAGGGAAUCUUCCCGCAAUGGACGAAAGUCUGACGGAGCAACGCCGCGUGAGUGAUGAAGGUUUUCGGAUCGUAAAACUCUGUUGUUAGGGAAGAACAAGUACCGUUCGAAUAGGGCGGUACCUUGACGGUACCUAACCAGAAAGCCACGGCUAACUACGUGCCAGCAGCCGCGGUAAUACGUAGGUGGCAAGCGUUGUCCGGAAUUAUUGGGCGUAAAGCGCGCGCAGGCGGUUUCUUAAGUCUGAUGUGAAAGCCCCCGGCUCAACCGGGGAGGGUCAUUGGAAACUGGGGGAACUUGGAGUGCCAGAAGAGGAGAGUGGAAUUCCACGUGUAGCGGUGAAAUGCGUAGAGAUGUGGAGGAACACCAGUGGCGAAGGCGACUCUCUGGUCUGUAACUGACGCUGAGGCGCGAAAGCGUGGGGAGCGAACAGGAUUAGAUACCCUGGUAGUCCACGCCGUAAACGAUGAGUGCUAAGUGUUAGAGGGUUUCCGCCCUUUAGUGCUGCAGCAAACGCAUUAAGCACUCCGCCUGGGGAGUACGGUCGCAAGACUGAAACUCAAAGGAAUUGACGGGGGCCCGCACAAG